rnacentral:rRNA from 1 species
AAGCUCGUAGUUGAAUUUCGGGAUCAAUUUAUUGGUCGUGCAAUCGUACGUACUGGUAUUAUUGAUUCCUACCUUCUGACGAAUCAUGAUGUCAUUAAUUUGGUGUCAUGGGGAAUCAGGACUGUUACUUUGAAAAAAUUAGAGUGUUUAAAGCAGGCUCACGCUUGAAUACAUUAGCAUGGAAUAACGAAACAGGACGAUUGAUUCUAUUUUGUUGGUUUCUAGGAUCGACGUAAUGAUUAAUAGGGAUAGUUGGG